CACCUCCCUUGCCACAACUUUGUUAUAAACUUAUUUCUCUCUAAUUUAUCAAAAACUUGGCAUCAAUAAUCACAAUGUCUCAAAUUAUUCAUGUAAAUAUUAUUAUAAAACUGAUUUUCUUUUAAUCCUUGAAAAUAAAUUGAAUGUGAAUAAAUAAAUAAAAGAAUAUAAUGCAUAAAAAUAAUACUUGAGUGUUACUAAAGACGUCAAAUAAUAUGGUUAAGCAAAUCAGAUUAUGACUAUCAUAAGAGAAAUUGCAAGGAAUGCAAUGUUUUGUUAAUAAACACUACAAGAAAAUCAUUAAAUCAAUUUUAGAAAAAAAAUAAUUAGUUUUUAUAUUGAUUAAAUUAGAUACUAUUUUAGAUACUAAAAAGAAUUAUUAGUAUCUUAAUUAGUUUUUAUUAUUGAUAAAUAAUUCCUAAAUUGAUAUCUAAUUAGUUACCAGGAUUUUAGCUGGGAAGUAUUUAGAUUUUAAAGUUGGUAGCUAAUUAAAUACCGAUUUAAAAACUAUUUAUCAAUAAUGAAAACUAAUUUAAAUAUCAAUAAUAAUUUUUUUUAGCCUCUAAAAUAUUAUCUAAUUUAGUCAAUAUAACAACUAAUUAUUUUUUGUCUCUAAAAUUGAUUUCUAUUUAAUGAUUUUCUAGUAAUGAAUUUAGAAACUAAAGUUUGCAUACCAAGUGUGUAAUUCCAGGAAAUGAUGGAUCCCUCAGUGCCCCAUUCUCCUUUGUGGAUUUGAACAGACUGUAUUUUUUGAGGUAAAAUGUUGGCAAUAUGGUGUGGCCUGUUGCAAAAAACAUCAUAGAACUGUUGGGCAGAAGCCUUGAGAUGGACAUUAGUUUCAAUCUUUUGAAGUUGAGAGCAUGCCAUUUUUGCCUCACUCCUAAGAAGGUAUGAAAAAUAUAUGUGGACAAUACACCUAUAUAUACUUCUCUUCUCUUGAAUUUGUCUUGUUGGAAUAUCCUAACAACAUAUAUUAUUUAUUAAGAGUUUUUGUUCUAUUAUAUGAAAAUAAAAAUAUAUUUAAAAUAUUUAAUAUAAGUUUUUAAUAAAAAAAUAAUUAGUUAUGGAAGGAAUAUAUGUGAUAUGUGAGCCCAUAAAUGAAAGGAAUAUAUGUGCUUUGAAGUUUAUAUGUGCUUUGAAGUUUCAGCUGAACCACCACUAGUGGAGGAGGCAUCUUCUUUCCUUUAGAUUUUAUGGGCUCACAUGGCAGAAAAGGGAUAACCAUGAUUCAAAGUUCAUAAUAAAAAUGGCAAGUGCAUAUUGUAAGUGCUGAUAGAAUUUUAAUUCUCCAUGUUACUAAAACAUUAUUUUAAUCCAUAGUGUAGAAUAUUCUAGUUUCUCCCAAUCUGAUUUUUUUUCUCUCUAGAAAUUUAUACUUAAAUUAAGUGUUAGCAUGUUUGAGAAUACAUUGAAGUUAGUUCUCUUCACACAAAUAAUUGAAGGUUAGCUUAAUUUAAUAUUUUGUAUAAGUAAUGUGAUUAUUUUACUCUAAUCACAAGUUUAGUCAAGACACCACCCUUGGUAAAAAAAAACUGUGGUUAGUGGUAGAUAAAAAAAAGGAAAAUUUCCUUAUGACACCACUAUUUAAAAAUACAUCUAUUCCACAACUAUUUUUUAUAUUAAAAUAAUAACUUUAUAUGGAUAUCAAAUGAAUGAAAUAAUAAUUUUAUACGGAUAUCAAAUGAAUGAAAAAAAAAUUAAUGAUAAAUGAUUUAAUGUAGCUAAUAAACUCCAAGCAUAAAAGUUUUAAAAUCUAUACUUAUUGUAGUAAUAUCAAACUCAUGAAUUCACUUAAUUUUAAUCGAAUCAAAUUUUUUUUCGCUCUAACAUAAGUUUUUAUUAAAAUAAAAUAAUGUUCAUUAAUUAUAUAUAUAUAUAUAUUCGAUAUUUUACUCCUAUAUUUAGUAGAAAUGUUAAGUAACUCAUAAGGGAAUAGUUAUUGUUUUAAGUGAAAGGUUAGGACCGGUUAAAGCACAUUAUUAAACCAAAAAGAAAGUAAACCAAAAAGAAAGUAAAGAGAAUUACAAGAAAUAUAAAAGGAUUGCCAAAACUUAUGAAAGAAAAAAAAAUUGUCUCACAAAAUGAAAAAAAAAGGAGAGAUUUGUCUUAUUUUGAAUAAAGUCAUAAGCUAUGAGUUUUUUUGGGAUGAUUGUUUUCACUUAGGUUAAAAAGUAUAAUGAGAUUGAUUUACUGUGAUAAUGAGUGAGACUCGUAAGAGUGUAGGUUAAAUAGUCUCUCAUUCUUUUGUAUCUCAUUCUUUGUAUAUAGUUUGGAACAUUUCUUAAAUAUUUCACUUUAAUUUUAAUUUAUCUUUUAUAUUAAAUAAUACAUUUCUUAUUGAAAGUCUAAAGAAAAGUCACAUUCAAUCUAUAAAAAAUGUCAUUCCAUUUUUACGAUGUACUCCAAAGCAAAUAUGAUGGAAAAUAUUACAACAACAAGAACUAACUUUGUAUUUGUAGAAUGUGGUUAGGUCAUAAUACUAGUCACUUUGCAUGUAUUAUGAGCAAUCUCUAUGAUUCUAUUUAUGUUUAAUCUUAAACAUUGUUACAUAUUUAAGUUAGUGCCAACAAUCCUAUACUUAUAUUAGUUGACUAGGUGAUUAGGUUCAAAAAAGAAAAUAAGAAGAAAAUACUCUAAGAGCAAACACAUUUCAUGAUUUAAUGGGGAUGACACAUAUUUGGAUCUUUUUAGCAAGACAAUUGGAUGAAACAAAUAUGUCUAUUUUGGAAUAACUCAAUUUGGAUUAUAUGUGAAUAGAAACUAAUUUUAGAAAAAAAAAUAAUUAGUUACUAUAUUUACUAAAUUAAAUAUUAAAAUAAUUAUUUUAGUCUCUAAAAUAGUAUCUAAAAAAAAUUAAUUAUUUUUUGUUUUUAAAAUUAAUUUCUAUUUUUUUGCCUCAAUCUUAAUUUUUAAAUAUUGUAUUCAUUAUUUCUUAUGGAAUUUGUGCUCGAAAAUGACACUGAACCACUCUUUGAUUUCUUAUCCAGAUUCUAGUAAUAAUUGGUUUUUAAAUUGAUAUUUAAUUAUUAGUUAUCAAAAUUUUAGCUUACUCACAACUUUAUAUUCUAACUUUAUAUCUAUUAGUCUUUUAGAGAUUAAUUUAGAAUUUAAAGUAUUAGUAACUAAAAUCUUGAUAGCUAAUUUAGAUAAUAAUUUAAAAAUUAUUUUAUAAAUUUUUAUUAAUAAUAGAAAUCACUUUAGUUACAAAUAAUUUUUUAAUCUCUAAAAUAGUAUCUAAUUUAGUUAAUAUAGUUAAUAUAGUGAUUAAUUAUUUUUUGUCUCUAAUUUUAGUUAUUAUUUGAUAAAUUUUUUAGUGUAAAAUAUAUAGUUUUUGAAAAUUUAUGGUAGAUAUGAUUUAUUAAAAUAAGUAAAAUAUAUUUGUUCAUUACUAUUUAUAAUUGAAAGUAAUUUAUAUUUUAUUGUUGGGAAAGUUCACAAAUUUGUAAGAAGCUGAACUUGAAAAGCUAUUUUCGGAAAACAUUUUUAAGGAAUAUUAUUUUUUUAAAGCAUCAAUCAAAAACCUUGAAACAAACAAUUCUUAACUUCUUAUUUAUGAGAAACUACUUUUUCUUUAUAUUAAAUAUUUCUAAUAUUUCUUAUGCCUCAUUUAAUCAAAUUAUUAUUGUCGAUAAAAAUAAAUCACCCCAAAUAUUUUUAUGUUAAAAUAAAAAUAUUAUUUUUAUAUCUUAAUUGAGGGACUUUCGCCUUUUUUGUGAAUACAAGUUGUUAAAGCGAAUGUGUGUUGCUCAAAUGACACAUCUCUAAUUUGAAUUAUAUGCUAUUAUAUAUAUAUAUAUAUAUAUAUAAUCAUUGAAUUAAUGUGUAUGAAAUGAAUGGAUACAUUGAGAUAUAUGAAGAUUGAAUUGAGGGAAUAAAAAAUUAAUAUUUGGGAUGGUAACAUAGUCAAGUUAUUUUCGUUGUUUUAAGUGUAAGAGUCCGUAAGAGAAUAAGAUAUUGUAAUUUUACUAAAUAGUUUAAAUCACAUAUAUUAAGGUAUCCCACAAAAUGAGAAACAAAAGAAGGUUAUUACGUCAAGUUUUCAUAUCGUAAGCACAAAAAAUCACCUCAACAUAAGAAUUGAGGUUGAAUUACCAAAAUUACUUAAUAUGAAUAUUCUAGAAAGGGUCAAGUUUGUAGCAAAAUUAUCUUGAUGCUAUAAGAGAUACAAUGUGUGUGUGUGUUGACUUUUAAAAUAAAUAAAAAAAACAUUAGCAAGGACCAAACCCAUGUUAAAUUAAAUAAAUUUUAAAAUAUAAAACAUUAGUCUAGGUCAAGCGAACGCUAAAUGAAAUAAAUUUGUAAAUAAAAAACAUUAGUAUGGACUAAACGAACACUAAAUUAAAUAAAGUUUAAAAUAAAAAAACACUGACAUGGAUCAAGCGGACGUUAAAUUAAAUAAUUUUUAAAAUAAAAAUAUUAGUGUGGGUCAAGUUGACGCUAAAUUAAAUAACUUUUAAAAUAAAAAACAUUAGUGUCAAUCAACUAAACUGAUGCUAUACUACUUUAAUUAAAAAACUAAUUUAAAAAUGAGUGACAAAUCGAUCUUAAAAAAUCAACACUAAAGAACUUCAAAUGUGAUAUGUGCAUUAUCUACAUUGACUUUGGUAAAUUACUACCAAAAAAAUGCUUUUUUUUAUUGAUUUUUGGUGAAACGUAGGACAUAUAACAUUAUUUUUAAAAAUUAACCGAUAUAUUUUGGAAACUUUUUACGUUGUUGAUAAUCAAUAUAGAAACUUCCCUAUUUUAUAUAUAUAUAUAUAUCAAGUAACCGAUGUAAAAAUUGGUUUUUCUAGUAGUUAUUUUAAUAACUAAUAAUAUUUUAUGAUCAAAUUUAGUAAUAAUUAAUUUUGUGACCAAUUUUAAUGAUAAAAGAAAUAAAAAACUUAUUUAAAAAAAUAAUUAAAAUAAAUAAGUAUAAUAUAAAAUAUUGAGUUUAUAAUUAAAAUAAAUAAUGAUAAUAUAACGAUGUAAGGCCAUAAGUGUCAAGUAAAGACUUUUCAACCUAAUUUGAAUUAGUAGUCAUUUUAAUUAGUAAUUGAUAACUAAAUAUUUGUUAAUUUACCACUAACUAGGUUAAUAAAUAUAAGCUUAGUAACAUUUAAAAUUUUACACAAAAGUAAAGAAGAUCGUUGUAAAAUGGAUGAUUGUUGAAGUUUGAAACGAUAGCCUAGCCGAAACGUCAGACUUCAUAGUAAUAUAUAACAUAAAUUUUUAAAGAAAUAAAAAAGAUUUCAAAAUGACAAAACACCAAACACAAAUUAUACAUAACAUAAAUUUUCCUAGCUCACUCCUAUUGGUUCCUGAUGCACUUUAUUAUAAGUACUUUAUACGUAAUAUUGAUGGAAUUAAUUAAGGGAUACAUCAAAUGUUAUUUCUUAGACAUCAACAACAUAAGAUAUGAGCUUUAUUUAUAUUUGACAACUAAUGAUCUAGUUGUUCUCUUGAGUAAGGUAAGAAUCAAUGUUCUUACUCAUCUCAACUACCAAUUGCAACAAGGUGUGAGGAUCAGGAAUGUGGUUUUCUUGUUUCUCAAACACCAGUGUCCACUGCACCACACUGCCAUUUCCCUUUGGAGUAACUUGAAAAUCAGUUUUGAAGCUCUUGUAAAGUCCCAGCAAGUCUCCCUCUAAAACCUUGAAGCUCAGUUUACAGUUUUCCUUAUUUAUGCCUUCAACCACCUCCUUUGCCACAUAUUUUUUUUCAUCUGUUGUUAUCCAAACUAAAAUUUUAGAUUCUUUAUAAACUUAUUUCCCUCUAAUUUCUCAAAAAUUUGGCACCAUUAAUCACAAUGUCUCAAAUUAUUCAUGUAAAUAUUAUUAUAAAGCUAGUGUUCUUUUAAUCCUUGAAAAUAAAUCAAAUGUGAAUAAAUAAAUAAAAGAAUAUAUAAUGCAUAAAAAUAAUAUUUGAUUGAUAAUAAAGACCUUAAAUAAUAUAGUUAAGCAACUCCGAUUAUGAUGCUCAUAAGAGAAAUAGCAAGGAAUGUAAUGUUUUUUUAAUAAACACUACAAGAAAAUUAUUAAAUCAAUUUUGAAGAAAAAAUAAUUAGUUUUUAUAUUGAUUAAAUUAGAUACUAUAUUAAAGACUAAAAAGAAGUAUUGGUAUCUAAAUUAAUUUUUAUUAUUGAUAAAUAAUUCCUAAAUUGGUAUCUAAUUAGCUAUCAAGAUUUUAGUUACCCACUAUUUAGAUUUUAAAGUUGGUAACUAAUUAAAUAUCAAUUUAAAAACUAAAAUGAUAUCUAAUUUAGUUAAUAUGAUAACUAAUUAUUUUUUAUUUUUAAAAUUAAUUUUUAUUUAAUGAUUUUCUAGUAAUAAAAGUUGAGCAAUGGAAGUUUGCAUACCAAGUGUGUAAUUCUAGGAAAUGAUGGAUCCCUCAGUGCCCCAUUCUCCUUUGUGGAUUUGAACAGACUGUAUUUUUUAGGUAAAAUGUUGGCUAUAUGGUGUGGCCUGUUGCAAAAAACAUCAUAGAACUGUUGAGCAGAAGCCUUGAGAUGGACCUUAGUUUCAAUCUUUUAAAG
rnacentral:lncRNA from 1 species